GACGAACCGAGCGAACGUUGUUCGGAAUCACUGGGCUUAAAGGGCGCGUAGGCGGGCUGUCAAGUCUGGGGUGAAAUCCCGCGGCUCAACCGUGGAACUGCCUCAGAUACUGACGGCCUCGAGGGAGGUAGGGGCGAGCGGAACUAAUGGUGGAGCGGUGAAAUGCGUUGAUAUCAUUAGGAACUCCGGUGGCGAAGGCGGCUCGCUGGACCUUUUCUGACGCUGAGGCGCGAAAGCUAGGGGAGCAAACGGG
rnacentral:rRNA from 1 species